rfam:Chelonia mydas contig222600, whole genome shotgun sequence.
GCCUGAAGGCAUACUGGACUGAAUAAACCCAAUCUCGUCUGAUCUCAGAAGCUAAAGAGUGCCGGGCCUGGCUAGUACUUGGAUGGCAGACCAAAUGGGCAGGACCAAGCAUACACAGACC